rnacentral:rRNA from 1 species
CCUACGGGUGGCAGCAGUGGGGAAUCUUGCGCAAUGGGCGAAAGCCUGACGCAGCGACGCCGCGUGAGGGAAGAAGGUCUUCGGAUCGUAAACCUCUGUCAGCAGGGAAGAACGGUCACUGGGCUAAUCAGCAGUGAAUUGACGGUACCUGCCCAGGAAGCACCGGCUAACUUCGUGCCAGCAGCCGCGGGAAUACGGAGGGUGCGAGCGUUAGUCGGAAUUACUGGGCGUAAAGCGCACGUAGGCGGUAUGUCAAGUCUGGGGUGAAAUCCCCGGGCGCAACGGGUGAACUGCUUUUGAAACUGGGAGACUGGAGUGCAGGAGAGGAGAGUGGAAUUCCAGGUGUAGGGGUGAAAUGCGUAGAUAUCUGGAGGAACAUCAGUGGCGAAGGCGGCUCUCUGGCACGUAACUGACGCUGAGGAGCGAAAGCGUGGGUAGCAAACAGGAUUAGAUACCCGAGUAGUC